CAGGGGUAUCAAGUCUCUUGGGUGUUAGGGCCAGCUAUCCUUAGAGAGGAGGCCAUCCUCUGUGCUUCUGGGGCAUCCUCUGUGCUUAGGGCACAAGCAAGCCCAGGUGGUAAACUGCGAAGCAGGCUGGAGCUGGAAGCAAGGGCGAGGUUUGCAGGGAGCUUUGGAACCCCCCUGGGGAAUGUGUGAGGGCAGGGGAGGCAUCCAGGGAUGGGAAAGCAGAAGCGAGGUUGCUGUUGAACAUGUGUUCCGGAUAGGGGGGAGUGCUGUGUGCGUGACUAUGAAGCACACAGGCCGUCGUGAUGGCCUCCACCAGGGGCUUCCUGGACUCUGCAAGAUGCUGAAGGACUCAGAGAGGACUCUGGGGGUUAGGGGUGGAAGUUCCCAGCUCUGUCAGCCCGCAUCCCAUAAUGCAUAGUCAGGCGUCAUCUUGUAAAUGUGUGUAGGUGAUCCUUUUAUCUCACAGAAGCAGAUGGUGGAAGCAGGGUCCCCUUUGGCCACCGGACUGUUGGAUUCUCUGGCACGCGGUAAGUACUAAGGAAGUCCUAAAGUACUAAAUGGGGAGCAAGGGUUGGUGACAAACAGCUUGCUCCGACUUUGACAGUCUGCCUCACAAUCUCUUUGCCUGGGGGUUAGCUAGAGCCCUUUGGUUCUUUCUCUUCAUUCUAUUUGAGGCCUUGACCCUCUGCACUUCGUGGGCAGUUUUACGUGGUCAAAGUGUUAUUGGCUUCAGGCGAAAGCAAAGCUCAGCGAUAAGGGAGGUGCCUUUAAAAGCAGUGUGGCUGUUAGUGCUGCUGUGUCCCUGACCAGACCUGUGAAGUUUACAGGUGGCCUAGUAGCAUGGGUGCAGAAUCCGGGUACCGUGGCUUUUGGUGGACUGUGGGGAGCACACAUGCAACAGACAGAGGGGAGAAGACAAUAGAAGCUGGAGCCUCCAGGAGCUGCUGGGCAACUGUGACCUCUGAAGGCCGAGCUCGUCCGCAGCCGACCACCAGAGCUGCCCGCGACCAACCAAAUGAGUACCCCCAGGUAGGCAGCAGAAGAGUCUCGAGACUCUGGAUCUGUUCUGCCUUCUGCAGGGACUGGAAUUCUCAGCUGUGUCCACCAACGCGGGCGCUCGCAUAAGCUGUGGCUUUCUGGGCAUGGUGCCAGAGAGCUCACACAGGACUCCCUAUUCAGCCCUAAAUGGCAUCCUGUGCUGGCUUUCGGGGUGGGGUGGCUCAGCAGGGCUCCCCUCGUGACUGGAGUCAGAGCCCAUGUGGGUUCCCUUGAGGCAGGCACGAGCAAGGGGCCGGAGGCCACUCGGACAAGCGGCCCCAUUGUAUCCGACUUGGGGGGCUGCAGAGGGCGGCUCGGUGGUGACCGCUGGGUGACGGAGCCUGGGCGCCCCUGUAGGGUUUGAUUGCACUGAACCGGGGGAAGCAGCCAUGUGGUGAGCAUGUGCUGGGGGCCACAUUUGGGUCCAUGGGCUGGCAAUGUGCUUUGAGUUUGGGUUUCCUUUCUUUUUCAGAAGGUGGUUGAUUCAUGCAAAAUGCUUAAUGAUGCCUGCAACGCACGGAGC
rnacentral:lncRNA from 12 species